UUGUUGGGUAGGGGAGCGUUCUGUAAGCCUGUGAAGGUGCCUGUGAGGGUUGCUGGAGGUAUCAGAAGUGCGAAUGCUGACAUAAGUAACGAUAAAGCGGGUGAAAAGCCCGCUCGCCGGAAGACCAAGGGUUCCUGUCCAACGUUAAUCGGGGCAGGGUGAGUCGACCCCUAAGGCGAGGCCGAAAGGCGUAGUCGAUGGGAAACGGGUUAAUAUUCCCGUACUUGGUGUUACUGCGAAGGGGGGACGGAGAAGGCUAUGUUGGCCGGGCGACGGUUGUCCCGGUUUAAGCGUGUAGGUGUGUGUUCCAGGUAAAUCCGGUUCACUUUAACACUGAGGCGUGAUGACGAGGCACUACGGUGCUGAAGCAACAAAUGCCCUGCUUCCAGGAAAAGCCUCUAAGCAUCAGGUAACAUCAAAUCGUACCCCAAACCGACACAGGUGGUCAGGUAGAGAAUACCAAGGCGCUUGAGAGAACUCGGGUGAAGGAACUAGGCAAAAUGGUGCCGUAACUUCGGGAGAAGGCACGCUGACACGUAGGUGAAGUGAUUUACUCAUGGAGCUGAAGUCAGUCGAAGAUACCAGCUGGCUGCAACUGUUUAUUAAAAACACAGCACUGUGCAAACACGAAAGUGGACGUAUACGGUGUGACGCCUGCCCGGUGCCGGAAGGUUAAUUGAUGGGGUCAGCGCAAGCGAAGCUCCUGAUCGAAGCCCCGGUAAACGGCGGCCGUAACUAUAACGGUCCUAAGGUAGCGAAAUUCCUUGUCGGGUAAGUUCCGACCUGCACGAAUGGCGUAAUGAUGGCCAGGCUGUCUCCACCCGAGACUCAGUGAAAUUGAACUCGCUGUGAAGAUGCAGUGUACCCGCGGCAAGACGGAAAGACCCCGUGAACCUUUACUAUAGCUUGACACUGAACAUUGAGCCUUGAUGUGUAGGAUAGGUGGGAGGCUUUGAAGUGUGGACGCCAGUCUGCAUGGAGCCGACCUUGAAAUACCACCCUUUAAUGUUUGAUGUUCUAACGUGGACCCGUAUCCGGGUUGCGGACAGUGUCUGGUGGGUAGUUUGACUGGGGCGGUCUCCUCCUAAAGAGUAACGGAGGAGCACGAAGGUUGGCUAAUCCUGGUCGGACAUCAGGAGGUUAGUGCAAUGGCAUAAGCCAGCUUGACUGCGAGCGUGACGGCGCGAGCAGGUGCGAAAGCAGGUCAUAGUGAUCCGGUGGUUCUGAAUGGAAGGGCCAUCGCUCAACGGAUAAAAGGUACUCCGGGGAUAACAGGCUGAUACCGCCCAAGAGUUCAUAUCGACGGCGGUGUUUGGCACCUCGAUGUCGGCUCAUCACAUCCUGGGGCUGAAGUAGGUCCCAAGGGUAUGGCUGUUCGCCAUUUAAAGUGGUACGCGAGCUGGGUUUAGAACGUCGUGAGACAGUUCGGUCCCUAUCUGCCGUGGGCGCUGGAGAACUGAGGGGGGCUGCUCCUAGUACGAGAGGACCGGAGUGGACGCAUCACUGGUGUUCGGGUUGUCAUGCCAAUGGCACUGCCCGGUAGCUAAAUGCGGAAGAGAUAAGUGCUGAAAGCAUCUAAGCACGAAACUUGCCCCGAGAUGAGUUCU
rnacentral:rRNA from 1 species